GAUAAUUUCAUAAUGAUGUUGGAGAACAAAAGACUAGUUGGUAUUCUUGUCGAAGCCUCAUUGGACCUUCCAUUUUUGUGGUGACGGGUGGUAUUGAAGAGGAGCUACUCACAUGACCGCAGAACGCUGGCAAAACACUAAUAAUACGACGGAUACACGCUAGAAAGACGAUAUGGCAACUUCCAUUGCGGUGGACAGAUGACCAUUACUCGAGCUGAUCUCCCUUUGAAACGCCGCAUGGACCUGGAAAAAGAUCAACUUGAGUGCCUGUGCUACGAGUUUUCACUCCAGUGGCGUAAAUGAGGUAUUCUGUGCUUGUAUCGCAAACCGUCGAUGUCAGAUACAGACUUUGAAAAUUACCUCUAAGUGUUUAGACAAAAUACUGAUAACUUUUGAACAUAUCAUCUACAUAGGAGAUUUGUAUUAUGACUUACUGAAAAGAGAUAAAUGUAAACCUCCUUUAACAUCUGUGAUAACAUUACCCUGGACAAUAUUACCUCUGAACCUACAUGUUUUAUGAAAAACUGCAGACCAACACUUAUUGAUGUUAUCCUUACCAAUGCAAAGUCUUUCAUGUGUAUAACUGUCAACUUUAAAAGCGGCCUUAGCGACUUUCACAUCCUCAUAGCAACUAAUAUAGGAGAACAAUGUGAGACAUAAAUGAUACAAAGGAUAAUUUUAGGUCAUACAAGAACUUCGACAACAACUCUUUUAAUAAACAUUUAAUAAACUUUCCCAUGUACCGUUUCAUCCCGCCCAUAUUUUUGAGGACAUGGAUGAUAUAGAGUUUGUAGAGAUUAUUUCAAAUACAUUACGUAAUAUGCCCAUGCGUUCACAAGCAGUAAAACAUACUUUUCUGAA